UGUUCCAAACUAUGGAAGCAUGUGUGUCCGGGCUAAUAGAUUCGCAAAACUUUUUCCAGCUUGCGGACUUCUUUUUCUUAAAUAAUUUUUUCGCGUCGUUAACAGAUUUACAAUAUAUAGUGUAGUUUUCAUAUGUAGAAUUAUUGUUAUAAUUUCUUUCAGCCUGUUUUCUUUUAUUUAUAGCGGCUGAACAGUCAAUGUCCCACCAAGGAGGUGAUGGGGAGAGAAAUGAGAAUGGGAAAGUGAUCACUACCGUGACUAUAUGAUAAAACUGACCAAUGUAAAAGAGAUGAUAGAUUUGAAGUACAAAUUGAUAAAUCGGGAGCACUAUAACCCUCAUUGGGUGCAGUAUGCCUCGUUGGAAACCCUGUAUUGAGAAUGCAUAACUUGUGGAAAUCUAAUAAAUCUAAUAUUUCGAAACCCCA